rnacentral:rRNA from 1 species
GACGAACGCUGGCGGCGUGCUUAACACAUGCAAGUCGAACGGUAAGGCUCCAGCUUGCUGGGGUACACGAGUGGCGAACGGGUGAGUAACACGUGGGUGACCUGCCCUGCACUUCGGGAUAAGCCUGGGAAACUGGGUCUAAUACCGGAUAGGACCAUGGUGUGGAUACUGUGGUGGAAAGUUUUUUCGGUGUGGGAUGGGCCCGCGGCCUAUCAGCUUGUUGGUGGGGUAAUGGCCUACCAAGGCGGCGACGGGUAGCCGGCCUGAGAGGGUGGACGGCCACAUUGGGACUGAGACACGGCCCAGACUCCUACGGGAGGCAGCAGUGGGGAAUAUUGCACAAUGGGCGGAAGCCUGAUGCAGCGACGCCGCGUGGGGGAUGACGGCCUUCGGGUUGUGAACUCCUUUCACCAUCGACGAAGGGUUUCUGACGGUAGAUGGAGAAGAAGCACCGGCUAACUACGUG